UACGGAGGGUGCAAGCGUUAUCCGGAUUCACUGGGUUUAAAGGGUGCGUAGGCGGCUUAAUAAGUCAUUGGUGAGAGCUCGCAGCUCAACUGCGAAACUGCCAUUGAAACUGUUUAGCUUGAAUGUGGUUGAAGUGGGCGGAAUACAACAUGUAGCGGUGAAAUGCUUAGAUAUGGUUUAGAACACCGAUUGCGAAGGCAGCUCACUAAGCCAAUAUUGACGCUGAGGCACGAAAGCGUGGGUAGCAAACAGG
rnacentral:rRNA from 1 species